GAUGAACGCUGGCGGCGUGCCUAAUACAUGCAAGUCGAGCGAACAGACGAGGAGCUUGCUCCUCUGACGUUAGCGGCGGACGGGUGAGUAACACGUGGAUAACCUACCUAUAAGACUGGGAUAACUUCGGGAAACCGGAGCCAAUACCGGAUAAUAUAUUGAACCGCAUGGUUCAAUAGUGAAAGACGGCUUUGCUGUCACUUAUAGAUGGAUCCGCGCCGCAUUAGCUAGUUGGUAAGGUAACGGCUUACCAAGGCAACGAUGCGUAGCCGACCUGAGAGGGUGAUCGGCCACACUGGAACUGAGACACGGUCCAGACUCCUACGGGAGGCAGCAGUAGGGAAUCUUCCGCAAUGGGCGAAAGCCUGACGGAGCAACGCCGCGUGAGUGAUGAAGGUCUUCGGAUCGUAAAACUCUGUUAUUAGGGAAGAACAAAUGUGUAAGUAACUAUGCACGUCUUGACGGUACCUAAUCAGAAAGCCACGGCUAACUACGUG
rnacentral:rRNA from 1 species